rnacentral:rRNA from 1 species
UUGACCUCGGAUCAGGUAGGGAUACCCGCUGAACUUAAGCAUAUCAAUAAGCGGAGGAU